rnacentral:rRNA from 1 species
CUAUACAUGACUCUGCGCAUAUCAAUAAGCGGAGGAAAAGAAACUAACAAGGAUUCCCUUAGUAACGGCGAGUGAAGCGGGAAGAGCUCAAAUUUGAAAUCUUAAAGGGUUUCCCUUUACGAAUUGUAGUUUAAAGAAGUGUUUUCUGUUGAGGUUUUGGUAAAAGUUCUUUGGAAUAGGACAUCAUAGAGGGUGAGAAUCCCGUAUUUGACCUUUACUUUCAACUUUGUGAUACACUUUCAAAGAGUCGGAUUGUUUGGGAAUGCAGUCCAAAAUGGGUGGUAAAUUUCAUCUAAAGCUAAAUAUUGGCGAGAGACCGAUAGCGAACAAGUACCGUGAGGGAAAGAUGAAAAGAACUUUGAAAAGAGAGUUAAACAGUACGUGAAAUUGUCAAAAGGGAAGCGUUUGACACCAGUGUUGUUUUUCUGAAAAUCAAUUAAAGAACUGUUUAUGCUAAGCUGUUUAGACUUUAUCAGCUAACUGUUUAGUUUUGAGCUUUUCUUUAAUGCACUUUUCAGUUAACAAGUCAACAUCAAUUUCUUUUGCUGUAAAAAAGCUUGAGGAAGGUGGCUUGAGAUUCGUCUUAAGUGUUUAUAGCCUCUUGCCUAUGCAGUCGGAGAGAUUGAGGUCUGCAGCGUAGAUCCUUCGGGGCUAAAUGCAUUUGUGCUAAGUUAUAGCAUUUUAUAGACGACUUGUUGACUAUGAUUUGUCUUGUAGCUUACUCGCUUAUGCUAUUUUACCUACGCUUAGGAUGUUGACAGCAGUAUAGACUGU